ACGUCCGUCACUCAGUUUGCGUCAAAUUUUUGUCCUAAAAAUGUAUGAGUAAAAUGUUAAAAUUGAAAAAUAUAGUUUUUAAUAUACAAAUCGUUAAUUUUGCAAAAUGGUUAAGAAAUUGAGAAGAAAAUCUCGUGAAUGCUGCAUGUUUAGAUAUCCUUGGGAUGGGGAAUGUCCUUCAAACUAUACAACAGCAAGUACCGGAGCGAUGCCGUCGGCUGAGAGACCGCUGUCGCCGUCCGAACCGCAUCCAGUAUCGGCCGUCCGGCAGCACUGGGUAUGAAGAAUACCCGCAGGACCGCUACAAAAUCACCCAUGCCAACAGCGGGACUCAGAUGGAAUACCACAGAUCCACCCAAAAAUACGAAGCCGACCAUCGCGGCACACAGACCGAACCGACAGUCUCCCGCCCAACACCCAACUACUCCAGCCACCAUACCAUAGCUUAUGGAACAACCCCCAAUCACCCCAAUCGGCCAGGAACCCCGAAUCGUGCCCAAGGGAGUUACCCACAACCCGGUGGGUACCCCCAACCUCAGGGCGGGGGUUACCCUCAAAAUACUGAGUACCCAAGUGGAGGACCCUACCAACGGGGAUACCCGCAGUCUUCUGGACAGGUGAAGAGAUAAUCUGAUAUAUUAUAACCAGAAACGGUUCUCAACGACAUCCCCACACUUGUCAAAUGGCUUACAGUUCGCAGUCAUCCGUAAUUUUCUUUAUAAUGUCGAAUCGAUGAUUUUUGUUUCAGCAGGGCUAUCCAAAUCAACAACAUGGUUAUCCACCCCAGCAAGGUGGUUACCCUCCCCCACAGGGCGGAUAUGGGGGAUACCCCCCACAAGGUGGCUACCCCCCACAAGGUGGCUACCCCCCACAAGGUGGCUACCCCCCACAAGGGGGCUACCCUCCACAACAGGGGUACGGUCAACCUGCUCAGACGGGUCCUAUGGCGAAUAAGGCAGGUAUGGCGGCUUGCAUAGCCUGCUUGACUUGCUUGUUGUGCUCCUGUUGCCCGAUGGGAGGCAUGGGAGGCCAAAACGACGAUGUUGAGGGCGGAGGUGUAGACAACUCGGCAAAUGUUUCAUCGCCUGCUGACGACAAUUAGAAGUAAUAAAAAAGGAAAUAAGAUAGGUACAAAUAUAUGGCAGGUUGAGUUGACAGUGACAGUUAAUUUUGUAUUGCUAGUAUAAAAAAAUCAAAAGCUACCAUUUCUUAUUGGUUUGAAGUUUGUGUUGCUAGUUGGAAAAUUAUUCUGAUGUUUGAUAUACAGUAAUUGUAAUUUUCAGUAGUAUAUUGUCAUUCAGGAACUUGAUAUUUUGGAACUAAAUCGCAAAUAUUAUUUACUUUUCCUAAUUCUUUCCCAUUAUGUUGUAUUUAAACGUGAAUUUUAUAUUUAUGCAGCGUUUGCUAUCUAUUUCAUAGCAUCAAAACCUGAUUUCAUUUUUUCUUGUCAUAACAAGGAUAUGCCAACCUCAUCGUACCUUACUCUAAAGUAAACACAUAGGUUAAAUUACAAUAUCAUAUUAAAGUAAUAUAUCUAACCCCUGCCGUAUCCCAUAUAUGCGACACAUACUAUCGUUUGCUUACCAUUUAUGUCGUAUUGCUGCGACAGAAAUAAUCAUGCAUCGUUAUAUUCACACGAUUGCUCCUCGUUAAGUGUAAAUAUUUUUAUAUUUUUUUUCAAUUUAUAGCUGCGCGCUAAUGGCACGGCAAUUGAUAUUUAACUGCGUGCUUAAAGAGUUAAAUACUUUAAAUUACUAAUCACUCUUAGACAUAUUUUAACAGUGUGUACAAUUCUUUAGAAGUGGGUUGUGCACCUAUAUUUUGUGGGCGAUAGAUACUUUAUUUGUUUCGAUUCUAAUACAACGUAACCUAUUAUUCAAUCACGAGUCAAAAUGUUCUCUAGCAGAAUUUCAAAACUGACACAUUUUCCUUAUUUUAACUACUUACCAUCUCGUAGUGCUUACAAACUUACAUUUACGAAUAUAACAUAAUAAUCUAGCCUUUUUAAAUUUUAAAACAAAACUUUGCUAUACAGAUUUUGGCUCUUCACUUCUUUGAUUGAAAGGAAACUGUAUUGUUCGGACAUAAAGUACUUAUUUCAUCAUUAUAUCGGCCAAUAGGCGUCCACUCCUGAACAUAUGCCUCCCCCAAUGACUUCCAGAUAGGCCGGUUGGAAGCGAUCUGCAUCCAGCGACAACCUUAAUGUAUCCUUUAGUAUUUCAUUGUGUGAAUGAGAUUACCGGAGGCCCAAUUACCCCCUUUCCAAUCCUCAAUUUCUCAUCAACCCUUAUAUUCCUAACCCCAAAAGGACGGCAAUGCACUUAUAACGUCUCUGGGGUUUUGGGUGUCCAUGGGCGGUGGCGAUUGCUUACCAUCAGGUGAUUCGUCAGCUCGUUUACCAGCUUAUAACACAAAUAUGUUUGAAAAGAAUACUAAAGUGUGGAAGAGCCACGCUUCGGUACAAAUAAUGCUUGAAUUCUUAAUGUCUUUGGUGUUACGGUUAUCUGUUGAUGGUCCUAUUGCUUACCAUCAUGUUUUCCUUCCGCUACCCUAUCCGAUAAAAAGGCUGCGUUAAAAUAUAAUUAUAUAAUUUUGCUCAGCUUAAACAUAAAUAGCGAAUUGCUUGUAACAAAAGCUGGAGAAUAUAUUUAAAUAAAUUUUGAUGUAGUUAUUUUUAAAUAUUUUAUGCAAAGGGAUAAUAAGGUUUCUUUGAAGAAAAGUUGUCAGAAUCUUCAGAAUACAAUUUUGGGUGGAAAAUCAUCUAAUGACUGCUCCCGCCUUAGACGAGGUGAGAGGGAGUGUCAGACUCUUACUGCCACACUCAGAGUCAUUUAAUGCUUACUUAAACUAUUCUUUAGUAACGAUUUUGUAUGGAAAACAAUUGCUAAGGAUUGGGUUAAGUAAUAAUUAAAUGACUCUGAGUGCGCGAGUUAUGGAUUAAAAACCACCCCAUUCCCUCUCCUGCAUUGACCCGGGCCCCGGUAAUCUGUUACGUUGUCCGCAGUUCCGGAUUUUGUAACAACACAUACGUUUUUAAGUUGGUUUCGCGUUGUAGGCCUUUACAGUGCGCUUAUUAGUAAGGAUUACCAUCGGCCUGCGCACUGGCGGCCAGGUUGGGUCGCCUUAAUAACAUAUCAAGGUUCAUAACCCCUUUUUUCCCUUCUUUUUAAUAUUCAAUUAUGAUUUAAAAGGUUUUUCGAUUUGUGAAUAUUGUUAUCGCUGUAAUUUAAUGAAAGUUUCAAUUUACCAAGUUCCUUGUCUUGUGACAAAUGACAUGUAACAACUAUAAUGCCAUAUCUAUCCUUAAGAGUCUUAUCGCUGUACUCAGAGUAAUUUAAUGGUUACUUUACCCAGUCCUUAGCAAUUGUUUUCAGUACAAGAUCUUUACUAAGGAAUAGUUUAAGAAAUCAUAAAAUUAUCAUUUAUCAUCAUUUAUCAUUUAGGC